GACGAACGCUGGCGGCGUGCUUAACACAUGCAAGUCGAACGGUAAGGCCCCUUCGGGGGUGCGCGAGUGGGGGACGGGUGGGUAACACGUGGGUGAGUUGCCCGGCCCUUCGUGAUGGGCCUGGGAAACUGGGUCGAGUACCGACUAGGACCACGCUCUUCAUGGAUUGUGGGGGAAAGCUUCUGCGGUGUGGGAUGGGCCCGCGGCCUAUCAGCUUGUUGGUGGGGUGAUGGCCUACCAAGGCGACGACGGGUAGCCGGCCUGAGAGGGUGUCCGGCCACACUGGGACUGAGAUACGGCCCAGACUCCUACGGGAGGCAGCAGUGGGGAAUAUUGCACAAUGGGCGCAAGCCUGAUGCAGCGACGCCGCGUGGGGGAUGACGGCCUUCGGGUUGUAAACCUCUUUCAGUAGUGACGAAGCGCAAGUGACGGUAGGUACAGAAGAAGCACCGGCUAACUACGUG
rnacentral:rRNA from 1 species